GAUGAACGCUAGCGGCAGGCUUAAUACAUGCAAGUCGAGGGGCAGCAUGAUUGUAGCAAUACAAUUGAUGGCGACCGGCAAACGGGUGCGGAACACGUACACAACCUCCCAAUAAGUGGGGAAUAGCCCAGAGAAGUUUGGAUUAAUACCCCGUAACAUAACGAUGUGGCAUCACAUUGUUAUUAUAGCUUCGGCGCUUAUUGAUGGGUGUGCGGCUGAUUAGAUAGUUGGCGGGGUAACGGCCCACCAAGUCUACGAUCAGUAGCUGAUGUGAGAGCAUGAUCAGCCACACGGGCACUGAGACACGGGCCCGACUCCUACGGGAGGCAGCAGUAAGGAAUAUUGGUCAAUGGACGCAAGUCUGAACCAGCCAUGCCGCGUGAAGGAUUAAGGUCCUCUGGAUUGUAAACUUCUUUUAUCUGGGACGAAAAAAGGCUUUUCUAAGUCACUUGACGGUACCAGAUGAAUAAGCACCGGCUAACUCCGUGCCAGCCGCCGCCGUAACAC
rnacentral:rRNA from 1 species